GGGGACGAUUUUUGGGACUGGGGAUUUCCCCGCCCCGCUCACCCCUAAUAUCCGGAGUAUAUUACGCCAUACGUACGAACGACGUACAUUAAAACGGCACAACAGAUGGUCGGAUCUCGUCGGCGCACCCAACCGCACCAUAAGCACGAUGUGUGUGUGUAUAAAUGUGAGAACGAAAAGUAAAGAAUGAAUAUGCGUUAUUGGUAUCCAGAAACGUUGAUCUCGUGGAAUGAUGUUGAAGCCUGAUUGUCAGAGAUGCAACAAAGGAUGUGUUGGGAAGUUAGGACGGUUAGCCGUUAAUACAGGGAGUUAGUUAAUUGAAAUAGAUUGUAAUUAUAAAUAAUCGAUUCUGUAAAAACAAUAUUUCUCAAGUCAAAAUAAGAAUUGAAC
rnacentral:lncRNA from 1 species